rnacentral:misc_RNA from 1 species
UUUCCGUAGGUGAACCUGCGGAAGGAUCAUUACAGAGUUCAUGCCCGAAAGGGUAGACCUCCCACCCUUGUGUAUUAUUACUUUGUUGCUUUGGCAGGCCUGCCCUCGGGCUGCUGGCUCCGGCCGGCUCGCGUCUGCCAGAGGACCUAAACUCUGUUUGUAUAUGAAGUCUGAGUACUAUAUAAUAGUUAAAACUUUCAACAACGGAUCUCUUGGUUCUG